rnacentral:rRNA from 1 species
UACGUAGGAUGCAAGCGUUGUCCGGAAUUAUUGGGCGUAAAGAGCGCACAGGCGGUAUGACAAGUCAGAUGUGAAAGAGGCCGGCUUAACCGGCAAGGGUCAUUUGAAACUGUCAGACUAGAGUGCAGCAGAGGAUAGUGGAAUUCCCGGUGUAGUGGUGAAAUGCGUAGAUAUCGGGAGGAACACCAGUGGCGAAGGCGACUAUCUGGGCUGCAACUGACGAUGAGGCGAGAAGGCUAGGGUAGCAAACAGG